CAGCCGCCGCGGUAACACGUAGGUGGCAAGCGUUGUCCGGAAUUAUUGGGCGUAAAGGGCUCGCAGGCGGUUUCUUAAGUCUGAUGUGAAAGCCCCCGGCUCAACCGGGGAGGGUCAUUGGAAACUGGGAAACUUGAGUGCAGAAGAGGAGAGUGGAAUUCCUCGUGUAGCGGUGAAAUGCGUAGAGAUGUGGAGGAACACCAGUGGCGAAGGCGACUCUCUGGUCUGUAACUGACGCUGAGGAGCGAAAGCGUGGGGAGCGAACAGGAUUAGAUACCCGCGUAGUCCCUGUCUCUUAUAC
rnacentral:rRNA from 1 species